UGGGGAAUAUUGCACAAUGGGCGAAAGCCUGAUGCAGCAAUGCCGCGUGUGUGAAGAAGGCCUGCGGGUUGUAAAGCACUUUCGGUAGGGAAGAUAAUGACGGUACCUGAAGAAUAAGCACCGGCUAACUACGUGCCAGCAGCCGCGGUAAUACGUAGGGUGCAAGCGUUAAUCGGAAUUACUGGGCGUAAAGCGCGUGUAGGCGGUCUUGUAAGUCGGAUGUGAAAGCCCCGGGCUCAACCUGGGAACUGCAUUCGAUACUGCUCGACUAGAGUAUGGAAGAGGGAAGCGGAAUUCCGGGUGUAGCGGUGAAAUGCGUAGAUAUCCGGAGGAACACCUGAGGUGAAGACGGGUUGCUGGGCUGACACUGACGCUGAGGCGCGAAGCCAGGGGAGCAAACGGGAUUAGAUACCCAGGUAGUCCCUGAGCGGGCUGGCAAGGCGCAU
rnacentral:rRNA from 1 species